GAUGAACGCUGGCGGCGUGCUUAACACAUGCAAGUCGAACGAAGCACCUUAUUUGAUUUUCUUCGGAACUGAAGAUUUGGUGACUGAGUGGCGGACGGGUGAGUAACGCGUGGGUAACCUGCCCUGUACAGGGGGAUAACAAUCAGAAAUGACUGCUAAUACCGCAUAAGACCACAGCACCGCAUGGUGCAGGGGUAAAAACUCCGGUGGUACAGGAUGGACCCGCGUCUGAUUAGCUGGUUGGUGAGGUAACGGCUCACCAAGGCGACGAUCAGUAGCCGGCUUGAGAGAGUGAACGGCCACAUUGGGACUGAGACACGGCCCAAACUCCUACGGGAGGCAGCAGUGGGGAAUAUUGCACAAUGGGGGGAACCCUGAUGCAGCGACGCCGCGUGAGUGAAGAAGUAUCUCGGUAUGUAAAGCUCUAUCAGCAGGGAAGAAAAUGACGGUACCUGACUAAGAAGCCCCGGCU
rnacentral:rRNA from 1 species